rnacentral:rRNA from 1 species
UACGUAGGGGGCUAGCGUUAUCCGGAGUUACUGGGCGUAAAGGGCGUGUAGGUGGUUUCGUAAGUCUGGCGUGAAAUUUCCCGGCUUAACCGGGAGUGGUCGUCGGAUACUGCGGGACUAGAGGACGGUAGAGGCGUGUGGAAUUCCGGGUGUAGUGGUGAAAUGCGUAGAGAUCCGGAGGAACACCGAAGGCGAAGGCAGUGUCCUGGCUGGUGACUGACGCUGAGGUGCGAAAGCUAGGGGAGCGAACGGG